rnacentral:tRNA from 1 species
CGGGGUGUAAUCGGUUAAGGAGGCUGGGAGGUCUGUAAAACCUUUGUCAUUGACUCGAGUGGGUUCGAUACCCUCUACCCCGA